UGACCGGGCCCGCGGAGCCGGCGCGGGCGGGCUGCUGAGGUGGCUGUCGCCGGCUCGGAGCUGCGGCUUCCCGGGUCGAGCCCCCGAUGGAGGCCGAAGCCGCGGACGCCCCCCCGGGCAGGGUCAAGGCAGCGCUCAGCUGCUUCUCUUUCAACCAGGACUGCACAUCCCUAGCAAUUGGAACCAAAGCCGGUUAUAAGCUGUUUUCUUUGAGUUCUGUGGAGCAACUGGACCAAGUCCAUGGAAGCAAUGAAAUCCCGGACGUCUACAUCGUGGAGCGCCUCUUCUCCAGCAGCCUGGUGGUGGUGGUCAGUCACACCAAACCGCGGCAAAUGAAUGUGUAUCACUUCAAGAAAGGGACAGAGAUCUGCAAUUACAGCUACUCUAGCAACAUCUUGUCCAUAAGGCUGAACCGGCAAAGGCUGCUAGUUUGCCUGGAGGAGUCCAUUUACAUUCACAACAUUAAAGAUAUGAAGCUGUUGAAGACCCUCCUGGAUAUUCCUGCAAACCCAACAGGUCUAUGCGCCCUCUCUAUCAACCAUUCCAAUUCCUACUUGGCCUAUCCUGGAAGCCUGACUACAGGCGAGAUUGCGCUUUAUGACGGAAACUCCCUGAAACCGGUCUGCACUAUUGCUGCCCAUGAAGGGACACUGGCUGCCAUCACCUUCAAUGCCUCGGGCUCCAAACUGGCAAGCGCGUCUGCAAAAGGCACCGUCAUCCGGGUGUUCUCUGUACCUGACGGGCAAAAGCUCUAUGAGUUCCGGAGAGGGAUGAAAAGGUAUGUGACAAUCAGCUCUCUCGUGUUCAGUAUGGACUCACAGUUCCUCUGCGCCUCGAGCAACACCGAGACCGUGCACAUCUUCAAGCUGGAGCAGCUCCCCAGUAGUCAACCAGAAGAGCCUUCGACCUGGAGUGGCUACAUGGGAAAGAUGUUCAUGGCUGCCACCAACUACCUCCCGGCCCAAGUGUCAGACAUGAUGAAUCAGGACAGGGCUUUUGCCACCGGACGCUUGAACUUCUCUGGGCAGAGGAACAUCUGCACCCUCUCAACGAUCCAGAAAUUGCCAAGGCUGCUAGUUGCAUCAUCUGAUGGGCACCUCUACAUCUACAAUUUGGACCCUCAGGAUGGCGGAGAGUGUGUCUUAAUCAAGACCCACAGCUUGCUUGGCUCAGGAGCAACAGAAGAGAAUAAAGAAAAUGACCUCAGACCUCCGUUACCUCAGUCUUACGCAGCAACUGUAGCCAGACCAAGCGCCUCUUCGGCCUCCACGGUGCCAGGUUAUUCUGAGGACGGCGGGGCGCUGCGAGGAGAGGUUAUUCCCGAGCAUGAGUUUGCAACGGGACCAGUGUGUCUUGAGGAUGAGAAUGAAUUUCCCCCUGUGAGCAUUAGGGAUCCGUAAGAGAGCGGCUCGGUCCGUGCGCUUAGACGGAAGCCUUCACCUCCUACCAGAGGCGAAGGCACUUUUUUCCCUGUUUCCUAGUCUAUAGCAACUAAUCCUCUUCUCUAACAUUCCGAAAGCCGUAGGGUGUUAUCGUGCCGUGCGCUGCACAUCCUACAGGCUAGGCUUCAGGGGUCCAGCUCAACCCUGGCAGCACUAGAGUAACCGAGUGCUAAUCCAGGGAGUCUCGGUAGCCUCACUUCAUUCAGAGGCCUGGAAUCCUUUACUUCGCUUCUGUAGCUCUGACUUUGCUGCUGGCAAGGUAGGAACUUACGCCUGUGUCAAACUCUUAUUCUCCUAAGGCUCCCCGGGAUGCUGUCGCAGAACGCUGCCUGCCCUGUGCUGGAGGGGGUGACUUAACAGGGCUGGGCUGCGCGGUGCAGGCGAGCUCCACCGAGCCUCCCCCUCAGCUGCAGGGACUCGUUAACAAACAGCCACGUGGGGGGCACGAGCCGCUGUGCGUGAGCUCACCCGGGCACCCGCAGCUGGGCUCCCCAGCACCCUGCUCCAGCUGGCGUGGCGGAAGGAGCCCCAGGGCUGGCUACAUGCUAGGCUUGGCUUCCUCCCGCCUCUGCACCCGGAGAAAAGACUCCCUCCCUGGGGGGCUGCCGGGGCCCCCUUAGCUUCUGAUUCUCCAAGCUUCCACUUGGAGCAAUGUAGCGACCCCUGCUGCGAGCAUCACUUACAGAACAUCCCACAUAGUCCACUGAAAUAAUUUAGAGACGGAAGCAGUGUUUAGGCCAACGCGUGGAGAGUCAACUCGAGGAGUGGCCCUCUGGGUACGGAGCAGUGCCCGUGAGGCCCCGGUAUGGAAGGUCUCCUCCUGAUGGUCACUUUCUGUCAGUGGAGAUUCCAUUUGUAAAAGGAUGGAGCGCAGGUCCGGCUUCUCCCCCAGCAGAUCCAUGGAACAAUCUAUAACAAGCCAACCUUUACAAGCCUGCAUAUUUCUCGAGACCAGCCUUAAUCUUGUGAGCAAGAGUAAGGGGAUCGGGACCCAGGGUGUAUAUUGCCUUUUUAGCGGUGAGUUAGCAGUCCGUGUUUACAAGUAAGAUGAGCCUUUUUAAAAAAUACACAUAUACAUAUAAAUCUGUACACAUACACAUUUUAUAUAGUAUUUUCUGAAACUGUGCCAUGCUCAUCUACACCUAAAUAAGAAGGGUGGAUCUUCUUUGGCCACGGGCGAGGGUCAGUGUGAGGUCAGACAGAAAAGCUACGCAGCGCCGACCCUGCAUGGGCACAGACCUGUUGAUAUUGCAGCCUGCCUGCCAGCCUCUUCCCGGGAAGAGUAAGGCCGUUCUGUUUUGAUUUUGGUAGAUAAUCUUGUGCCGUGGAAGUCAGAAGGGCAAAACGAAGCAGACAUGAUGAGACGCACACCUCAGAAAUCAGGACAUCCCCUAUCAGGUGGUUUUGGAGAAAACAAGGAAGGUGGAAGAAUGGAGUGCAAUUGUGUGAGCAGAAAGGGGGGCAGGAGUCCCAGGUGCUGUGCUGCUUAAACCACAGGACGUGCUAAACUCCUCACCACGCCCCCCUCGGCCCUGGUUGCCAGUGGGCACGGGAGACAUUGUAUACACAUCUGCUAUUUAAAAUAUGUUCAAACCAUAGUGUAAAUGCUAACUAACCACAUUGGUAUAUAACCGGAAUUUUAUAUUGAAAAGGGCAUCCUUUUUAAAUAUAUGCUGUGUAAAAAUGUACUUUAUAGGAAAAUCUCUUUGAAUUGUAUUUGUUGUAUAUUACAUAUAUAGAGAAAGGGACUAUUUUAGCCAGGCAAAGUAUCUUUUGCAGUGAUUGGAAUAAAUUCAUGUAUUACUUUUGAGUCCCAUUUAGGACACUAAUAAUAAAAUCAUGGCAAUGCA